rnacentral:rRNA from 1 species
GUUCCUCCGGGGCGCAGCAGUAGGGAAUCUUCCACAAUGGACGAAAGUCUGAUGGAGCAACGCCGCGUGAGUGAAGAAGGGUUUCGGCUCGUAAAGCUCUGUUGGUAGUGAAGAAAGAUAGAGGUAGUAACUGGCCUUUAUUUGACGGUAAUUACUUAGAAAAGCACGGCUAACUACGUGGCAGCCGCCGCGGUAAUACGUAGGUGGCAAGGGUUGUCCGGAUUUAUUGGGCGUAAA